AAAUGGAGGGAGUACUUGUAGCGCAAGUCUUUUGCUAUAGGAAUCCAGUGCAGUGGCUCUGUAUAAGCAAUAAUCACUCGAGCCUCUUAGCCCCUUGAGUCUACUCAAGAACUACUUGAUAGACUAGCGACAUGGAAAUUUGUUCGUUGUCUUAUCUUGGUUCGUGAUUUGCCAUCUUGGUCAUCAGAGCGGUUUCCUA